ACUGCGAGUGAAGCGGGAAAAGCUCAAAUUUGAAAUCUGGUAGUCUUUGGCUGCCCGAGUUGUAAUCUAGAGAAGUGUUAUCCGCACUGGACCGUGUACAAGUCUCCUGGAAUGGAGCGUCAUAGAGGGUGAGAAUCCCGUCUUUGACACGGACUACCAGCGCUUUGUGAUGUGCUCUCAAAGAGUCGAGUUGUUUGGGAAUGCAGCUCUAAAUGGGUGGUAAAUUCCAUCUAAAGCUAAAUAUUGGCGAGAGACCGAUAGUGAACAAGUACCGUGAGGGAAAGAUGAAAAGAACUUUGGAAAGAGAGUUAAACAGUACGUGAAAUUGUUGAAAGGGAAACGCUUGAAGCNAGUCGCGUUGGCCAGGGAUCAACCUUGCUUCUUGCUUGGUGUACUUUCUGGUUAAUGGGUCAGCAUCAAUUUUGACCAGUGNAAAAAGACUAGGGGAAUGUGGCAUCUUCGGAUGUGUUAUAGCCCUUGGUUGCAUACACUGGUUGGGAUUGAGGAACUCAGCACGCCGCAAGGCCGGGUUUUUACCACGUUCGUGCUUAGGAUGCUGGCAUAAUGGCUUUAAUCGACCCGUCUUGA
rnacentral:rRNA from 1 species